rnacentral:rRNA from 1 species
UACAGAGGGGCAAGCGUUGUUCGGAAUUACUGGGCGUAAAGGGCGCGUAGGCGGCCUUCUAAGUCGAACGUGAAAUCCCCGGGCUCAACCCGGGAACUGCGUCCGAUACCUGGAAGGCUUGAAUCCGGGAGAGGGAUGCGGAAUUCCAGGUGUAGCGGUGAAUGCGUAGAUAUCUGGAGGAACACCGGUGGCGAAGGCGGCAUCCUGGA